GCACCUUCAGAGCACUGCUUUAACCACCCACUAACCAGAGAACACUGCUUCUGGGCUCUCUCCUUUCUUAGCACCCAUCCUCCCGCUGGGGAGGAUCCUUGACACAGGUGAUACCUACAUCUGUCUCCAGUCUCAACAGGCAUGUCUGAGGACACCCAUGCUGGCCUCGGCAUCACCCUCCAAACCUGCUCCUACACACUGUCCCAUCAGUGGGUUCCUUCUCCCUGGAAAAUGUGAUGAGUCCUCAGGGUUCUUCAGUCCUUCUGCACCUGUCAUCUCCCCAACCCCCUUACCCCACGGGAAAAAAUACACAGCCUAUUGGUUACCACCA